rnacentral:pre_miRNA from 1 species
CACGUACUUCCUCCGUUCGGAAUUACUUGUCUCGAAUAUGGAUAUAUCUAAACUAAAAUACAUCUAGGUACAUCAAUUUUUGUGACAAGUAAUUCCGAACGGAGGGAGUAAUUG